UGGGUUGUGGCUCAGUGGUAGAGUGCUUGCCUAGUAAGCAUGUGUGAGGCACUGGGUUUGAUCCUCAGCACCACAU
rnacentral:tRNA from 1 species